ACGGGUGAGUAAUGUCUGGGGAUCUGCCCGAUAGAGGGGGAUAACCACUGGAAACGGUGGCUAAUACCGCAUAACGUCGCAAGACCAAAGAGGGGGACCUUCGGGCCUCUCACUAUCGGAUGAACCCAGAUGGGAUUAGCUAGUAGGCGGGGUAACGGCCCACCUAGGCGACGAUCCCUAGCUGGUCUGAGAGGAUGACCAGCCACACUGGAACUGAGACACGGUCCAGACUCCUACGGGAGGCAGCAGUGGGGAAUAUUGCACAAUGGGCGCAAGCCUGAUGCAGCCAUGCCGCGUGUAUGAAGAAGGCCUUCGGGUUGUAAAGUACUUUCAGCGGGGAGGAAGGCGAUGUGGUUAAUAACCGCGUCGAUUGACGUUACCCGCAGAAGAAGCACCGGCUAACUCCGUGCCAGCAGCCGCGGUAAUACGGAGGGUGCAAGCGUUAAUCGGAAUUACUGGGCGUAAAGCGCACGCAGGCGGUCUGUUAAGUCAGAUGUGAAAUCCCCGGGCUUAACCUGGGAACUGCAUUUGAAACUGGCAGGCUUGAGUCUCGUAGAGGGGGGUAGAAUUCCAGGUGUAGC
rnacentral:rRNA from 2 species